UCCAUUCUAAAUGUGCAACUUCAAAGGAGCUUGAACCCAAAGUCACAGCAGAGGCCAUUCGGGACCCCAGUAACAGAUAUGGCUGUAACACAUCAGACCUUUGGAUUUCUCUCCAUGGUGAAAUCCCAUUAGCCACAGUUACCAGGAAGAGAGAGGACACUCAACAUUCCGUUGGAGAGCACAGACUCCUGCCCUCCACCUCCAAAGCAUGAACCCCUGGAAAUGAGAAGAGCCGGGUUGCUUCUUCUUCCUUUUUUUUUUUUCCUACCUGUUGUACUCAGGCUAGAAAUUGCUUUGGCAAAAUGGCCUUGCUCCGAUUACAGGAACAAAUCCUAGAGUCUCCCCCACCCCCAACUCCGUAGAAUACAAACAUGCCAAUUUCUUGUUGCAAUUCAUUGAAAA